CCAAGAAAAUGAAAUUUUACCCCCAUAUCUUAUCUUAAUUCAACAUCGAGGUCGCAAACUUAUUCAUCGAUAAGAACUCUCCGAAAAAAUUACGCUGUUAUCCCUUAGGUAAGUUAAUCUUAUAAUCAAAAAUGGUGGAUCAAUAAAACAUAAAUUAAUGAUAAUAUAAUUGAAAGUUAAUAAAAUUUCAAUGUCACCCCAACCAAACUAAUUCUUCUAAAAAAAAUUACCAAAAACAAAACAAAUAAUUUUAUAAAAUUAGUAAACUUCUAAAGGGUCUUCUCGUCCUAUAAAAAUAUUUAAGCUUUUUAACUAAAAAAUUAAAUUCAUAAUAAUUAUAUGAAGAAAGUCUAUUUUUCAUCAAACCAUUCAUUCUAGGCUUCAAUUAAAAGACAAAUGAUUAUGCUACCUUCGUACAGUUAAAAUACCGCAGCCUUUUAAUAUUAUUAAUCAAUGGGCAGGUCCAACCUC
rnacentral:rRNA from 1 species